GUCCACGCCGUAAACGAUGUCUACUAGCCGUUGGGAGACUUGAUUUCUUAGUGGCGCAGCUAACGCAAUAAGUAGACCGCCUGGGGAGUACGGCCGCAAGGUUAAAACUCAAAUGAAUUGACGGGGCCCGCACAAGCGGUGGAGCAUGUGGUUUAAUUCGAUGCAACGCGAAGAACCUUACCAGGUCUUGACAUCCUCGGAACUUGGCAGAGAUGCCUUGGUGCCUUCGGGAACCGAGAGACAGGUGCUGCAUGGCUGUCGU
rnacentral:rRNA from 1 species